AGAUGUAUGAAAACUCAUUUUCCAAGUUAACACUGAGUUCCAAAAGGUUUAUAUCAAAGUACUCCUUUUGUUGAAUCUUCCUCUGUAUGUCAAAUUACCUGUUUACAAUCCUCCGGGGGUCCCCUCUUGCCUUCAUGACAAAAAACAAAUUGCUUAGCUUGGUCUACAGAGAACUUACAAGCCAGCCCCUACCCAGCCCCGCCUCCCUACCGCAUACACCAUGCUCCACACCCACAGUGCACAUUGCCCACUUUGUGUUAUGCAUAUGCUGGGUCCUUUCCCUGGAAUAUAAUACUUUUUCCCUCCUUUGCCUGGUAGACCUCUCUCCUUGAAGACAAAGUGUUGAUAUCAACUCCACCUUCAAGUCUCUCAAGCAGAACUAGAUGCUGUUUCUUCAAUGUUUCCACAUCUUCUUGUUCACAUGUGUCUAAGCCUGCUUUGACAGCCCUGUUCAGACUCCAUUAAUCAUAGAAUGUGAUGACUUCCCUACUUUUCGAUUUUUAAGAUGCUUCAAGGGAAAUCUGUCUCCCCAGACACUUGCGUACUACAUUGUAAGCCAUUUUUACUAUGAAGAAGAUUGUAAGCUCAAUUACGGGCUUUACUGCGCUGAUAACGAACACAGAUAUGAGACAAGCAGACUUGAGCUCCUGCCUCGAGGAUGGUGAGCAAAGAGCCUAAGCAAAACUGAGAGGAAAUGAAACACAAAGAGGAAACAGAAAGCAACAAUAGGAAAUGGAUCCAUCCGGCUCACCCCUUCCUCCUGUACUUCAAUCUUGCCACUAGCUGAACCCAACAGGAAGCUAAGUGGCAGAGAAGUGAGGGAAAUACAGCCUGCAAAGAAGGACAAGGGAAGGACCUGGGGGCAAACAUGCCCCCAUGUAUAUAAUGAAAACAAGGCUUAUUCUCUUCUGAUUCAUUCAAAUUCCGUUGCUUAAUCAUGGGAAUCAUGGAAUGGCAUUUGGUCAAGGAGUAAUUUUCAUGAGAUGGUUUGGUAAUUUUCUGGACUUCAUUUUAUUUUUCAUUAUUUUAUGAGCAUGUAAAUCAAAACAGAUGAUAUCACCUCAUCUUUCUCAAUGGCAUCAGUAACAGAACAAAAUCAAAUGAAAGUGCUCCAUAAAAAUGAGCACUGCCCAAGUUAUAGUGUGUGCGGGCUGCUGCCCACUACUCCCUUCUCUGAGUCAUUCCCCGAUGUGACUUGGCAGCCCAGCUCCAUCAGCUCUGUGGUUGAAAAAAAAUGGGUCAUUGCACUGCGACAAAAGGACAUUCAUUGAAAAUACAGCAAUUAAGAAAAAUUUGAGCUCCAAUAGUCUCAAAUGACCAAAGGAAGCUUGUACUUGCAGCGUGUGGGUGCCAGCAGCAGGCAGACCAACAAAGCAGCAGGAGUUCCACCAGCAGCCACCAGGGACACGUCUAAGAAUUCUAUCAAACAGAAGGAAGUGGCUGAACUCCACUGAUGCAGGGGACAGGAGGCCUUGGAAAAGGCUGUUUUCAGCAUUACUAGCAUUUAAUUGAAACAUUCUGGAACCUGUAGUCCCAGGACCUAAAAAUAGGGCAUCACAACAAAAGACUCAACAAUAACGUUUUUCCUUAUGAAAUUUUAUUUUUGCUUAAAUAUAGGGGAAUAUAUAGGACACUGUAAAGGCAAAGUCUCACUGGUUUCUCUCUCUCUCACACACACACACAGAAUUGGAAGAGUUCAUAAAUAAAACAAAUUAGCAAAAAUGUUGAUGGUUGUUGAAGCUGGAUGAUGGGUACAUGAGUGUUCAUUGUAUUAAUCUCUCCUACCUUUUGUUUUAAAAUUUUUAUUAAAAAGGGAAAAUGUAAAUGUUGAUUUCAUUGGAUACAUGUUUUCCCUAGUUAGUCUUCCUUUACACUGUUCAUUUCAUUGUCACUAGGCUUCACCAUGUCUCUGUGUCGUGGGACCCAGCAGCAUGCAGAUAUUGCCAAGUGUGCUCUGAUUCUGUCUGUACUUAUGUGGAAAGCAGAAGCCUGCUCUGGCAGAGGAAGGGCGGUGUCCAGGCAAUAGGCAUAGGAAAUGAGUAGGCAGCAGGCUGAAGAGGGUGAAAAAAAACAGGGCAAGAGCAACCCCUCCACUGAAAUGCACUGGGAAGGGGGACUUAGAUACUAACACAAGUUCAAUUCAAGAAGCAUUUAUUGAACCGUCCUCAUGAGCCAGGUCAGGGUGUUCAGCACUGAGCGUGUCAAGACGAAGACACAUAGCCUCUAAGUGUCCACCAUCUACAAUAGCUAAUGUUUAAUUGUCCUUAAAAGUUGAAGAAUGUUGACUGGAUUGUCUGCAAAUCAGUCAUGUGAGUAGUGUUAAUCUAAUGAAGAAGAAUCUUAAAAGACAAAUUCUCCAAAUGCUGCUGCUCCUGCAUCCUGCUGCUCUACCUGCUGUGGGGAGGAGGCAUUGGGAAUUAGUGUUAAACAAGACACAAAAUGUGUGCUCUCAGGAAGAUCAUAUGCCAGUGCAGAGAGAUGAUAAACACGAAAUCCAAUAAAUACACAGUUUGUGCCAUGAAGAAAAUAAAACAAGCUGAUGAAAUUAUAACUACCAGUGACCACUCCCUGAUAUGCUGCAGAUGCAAUUGAGUAGCAGCUUCAUUCCACAUUUCUCCAACAUCUUUCAUGGUGAGGUCAAGAGCAUAUUCAAAACCAUGUGUGGCUCAGUCCAACUGGAGAGACCAAGUCAAAGAGCCUCAUUUCCAUAAGGCACAGAGUUAAGAAGUGGCAAGUUAACACAGCCAGAGCAUGCACAGAAGAAAACUUCGACCUCAAAUAACACCUAGAACCAAAGUCCCUACCGCAGAACUAAAAGAUUGGGAUGUGGCUGGAACUCAAGCACCUAAACACUUUCAAAAGGCUUUGCCUUCCAGUGUCUACUUGGCCUUCCAGUGUCAGACAGCUUCUUGCACCUGACCCACUCAGCUGAGGACACAGAUGUCAAAAAAAAAAUCAUAAAUACAGAAUUCCAGAAAAUUUUACCAAUAUGUUAUAUUUGCUGUGGUUGCUUUAUAGAUUUUUAAAAAUUAUUGGUCCAGUAACAGGUCUGAAAUUUAACCCUUCUCCUGCUUUUGAAGCAUUUUUUAGGUAAGUAGUUUUCAUGCUUUGAUGUAUAUCAUCAGAAUUACCUGGGUGGUGGAUCUGGAAAUGUGUAUUUUUAAAGUUGGUGUUUUUAUUAAUAGACUUUAUUUUUUAGAACAGUUUUAGACUUACAGAAAAUUAAGGCAAUAAUACAGAAGGUUAUCCACACACACACAUAGAGUUUCCCCUAUUAACAUCUUACAUUAGUAUGGUACCUUUGUUGCAAUUAAGGAACCGAUAUUAAUAUAUUAUUAUUAACAAAAGGCAAUAGUUUACUUCAAUUUCCUUAGAUUUUACCUAAUGCCUUUUUUCUGUUCUAGAAUCCAAUUCAGGAUCCCAUAUUGUGUGUUUAGUUAAUAUGUCUCCUUAUGCUGCUCUUGGCUGUGACCAUUUCUCAGACUUCCCUUGUUUUUGGUGAUCUUGACAGUUUUAAGGAGUACUGUAAUAUUCAAGUGUUUUGUAGAAUUGCCCUAUAUUGGAAUUUGUCUGAUGUAUUAGUCUCGAGUUAUGAGUUUGGGGAAGGAGGAUCACAGAGGUAAAGAACCACUGUCAUCAUAGUCUAUAAAGGGUACAUGUUGUCACAUGACUUAUGGGUGUGGUUGACCUUGAGCAUUUGGCUUCAGUAGUAUUAGACAGAUUUCUACGUCGUAACGUUACUCUUUCAUUUCCCCUUUUCAUAACGUAUUCAUUGGAAGGAAGUCACUAUAUGCAGCCCACACCUAAGGAAUGGGGAGUUAUGCUCCCCCUCCAUUAGGAUGUAAUCUACAUAAUUUGGAGUUUUCCUGCAUAGGAGAUUUAUCUCCUCUCUAUAAUUUAUUGCUUUAUUCAAUAAUUUCUUUAUGUCAGUAUGGACUCAUAGAUAUUUAUUUUAUACUUUGGGUUAUACUCUAAAGUGACUUUAUUUAUGUUGUUUCUCAAAAUAUGCUAGCUUUGGCCAGUGGGAGCUCUUUCAGUUAGCUCAUGUACACUUUUGACGUACCCCAUCUGUGUGUGUGUGUGUGUGUGUCUGUGUGUGUGUGUGUGUGUUGAGUAUUUACUUACCUUCUGGCACUACAAAAUGCUCUACAGUCAUUUCAUGUAGUCACUGCCCCAGUCCUAGAAUCAACCAUUUCUCCAAAUAGCCCUGGCGCCUUUUAUUGAAGAAUAGUAUAAGAAACCAAGAUUUGAGUGCUUGGUGUGCUCCUUACUACUGGAUGUCAUUUCUUUUACACCUUGUCAGCUCACAGAGCAAAGAAAUACAUGUGCAUAUAAGAAGCUGUGUGUGUAAAUAUACAGCUUGGAAACACCUGUAUCUACUUUAAGUUAAACAUGAGUUCUUACCGAUGUCAUCAACUCUACUCCAUUACCACAUGGAUCAUUCUCUCACUUACCUAUCAUCUCCCACUCAAACAGUAAGGAACCUGGCUCCCACCAUCUGCAAAUUCUUUUACAAAAAAUUAAUUGUUCAAUUCCAGCAGACAUGUAUAGCAGUAUCAGAAUUGUUAAUACUUCCAUGAGAAACAACUUUUUAAAAUAAAAUACACUACUUAAUGUGCCUUUAGCCUUAUAC